ACGCACGCUGGCGGCGUGCUUAACACAUGCAAGUCGAACGGAAAGGCCCUGCUUGCAGGGUGCUCGAGUGGCGAACGGGUGAGUAACACGUGGGUGAUCUGCCCCUUACUUUGGGAUAAGCCUGGGAAACUGGGUCUAAUACUGGAUAGGACCAUGCUGUAGGUGGUGUGGUGGAAAGAUUAGUUUCGGUAAGGGAUGAGCUCGCGGCCUAUCAGCUUGUUGGUGGGGUAAUGGCCUACCAAGGCGUCGACGGGUAGCCGGCCUGAGAGGGUGGACGGCCACAUUGGGACUGAGAUACGGCCCAGACUCCUACGGGAGGCAGCAGUGGGGAAUAUUGCACAAUGGGCGCAAGCCUGAUGCAGCGACGCCGCGUGGGGGAUGACGGCCUUCGGGUUGUAAACUCCUUUCAGCCAUGACGAAGCCCUUGUGGUGACGGUAGUGGUAGAAGAAGCACCGGCUAACUACGUG
rnacentral:rRNA from 1 species